UACGUAGGGCGCAAGCGUUGUCCGGAAUAUUGGGCGUAAAGAGCUCGUAGGCGGUUUGUCGCGUCUGCCGUGAAAGUCCGGGGCUCAACUCCGGAUCUGCGGUGGGUACGGGCAGACUAGAGUGAUGUAGGGGGAGACUGGAAUUCCUGGUGUAGCGGUGAAAUGCGCAGAUAUCAGGAGGAACACCGAGUGGCGAAGGCAGGUCUCUGGGCAUUAACUGACGCUGAGGAGCGAAAGCAUGGGGAGCGAACAGG
rnacentral:rRNA from 1 species